GAGUUAAAUCUCAUUGUGCUACUGCCAAAAUGGUCCUAUGGGAACACCCAAGCAAUCUGGACUGUCACCCGGGUCGCUGGUGGCUCACCGCAGACGGCAGUUGAGGCUCUCUUGCUGAAAACAACACCUACGAAAAUCGUUGAACACUGAGAAUUCCAGCAGCUGACUACCUGGAACCUUUACUCGUACUGACUGGUGUUCCUGGUACUUGAAGCUACUCUGUAUAAUAACACAGGAGAGAGUGUGGAUAAUUCUCUGGCCUUGCAAGAAAUUCCACCCGUGAUGCUCAGUGAUGACUUCCUCAAAUGAAGAGGUGAUGCUACGCUUUGGAAAUGCAAAAUGUUCUGUGGCGCAUCCAGGAGUCUAAACGGAUCAUCAUUCUGCACAUAAUCCAUGGUUUUCAAUUAUCCGUGCCACUGGUUUGCCACGUUAGCAUGACUAAUAAAAAGUUAUUAUUAU